UACGAAGGGGGCUAGCGUUGUUCGGAUUUACUGGGCGUAAAGCGUGCGUAGACGGCUAUCUAAGUCGGGUGUGAAAGCCCCGGGCUCAACCUGGGAAUUGCAUUCGAGACUGAAUAGCUAGGGUACGGUAGAGGGAAGCGGAAUUUCCGGUGUAGCGGUGAAAUGCGUAGAGAUCGGGGAGGAACACCUGUGGCGAAGGCGGCCCCCUGGGCCGGCCCGUGACACUGAGACGCGAAGGCGUGGGGAGCGAACGGG
rnacentral:rRNA from 1 species